rnacentral:rRNA from 1 species
AGUAGGUGAGUGAUGGGGUGACGCAGGAAGGUAGUCCAUCCCGGGCGGUGGUUGUCCCGGGGUAAGGGUGUAGGACGAGUGGUAGGCAAAUCCGCCGCUCAUUGAGUCUGAGACCUGAUGCCGAGCCGAUUGUGGUGAAGUGGAUGAUCCUAUGCUGUCGAGAAAAGCCUCUAGCGAGUUUCAUGGCGGCCCGUACCCUAAACCGACUCAGGUGGUCUGGUAGAGAAUACCGAGGCGUUCGGGUGAACUAUGGUUAAGGAACUCGGCAAAAUGCCCCCGUAACUUCGGGAGAAGGGGGGCCACGCUUGGUGAUCCGAUUUACUCGGUGAGCUGGGGGUGGCCGCAGAGACCAGCGAGAAGCGACUGUUUACUAAAAACACAGGUCCGUGCGAAGCCGUAAGGCGAUGUAUACGGACUGACGCCUGCCCGGUGCUGGAACGUUAAGGGGACCGGUUAGCUCACUUUCGGGUGGGCGAAGCUGAGAACUUAAGCGCCAGUAAACGGCGGUGGUAACUAUAACCAUCCUAAGGUAGCGAAAUUCCUUGUCGGGUAAGUUCCGACCUGCACGAAUGGCGUAACGACUUCUCGACUGUCUCAACCAUAGGCCCGGUGAAAUUGCACUACGAGUAAAGAUGCUCGUUUCGCGCAGCAGGACGGAAAGACCCCGGGACCUUUACUACAGUUUGAUAUUGGUGUUCGGUUCGGCUUGUGUAGGAUAGCUGGGAGACUGUGAAGCUCAUACGCCAGUAUGGGUGGAGUCGUCGUUGAAAUACCAGUCUGGUCGUGCUGGAUGUCUAACCCGGGUCCGUGAUCCGGAUCGGGGACAGUGUCUGAUGGGUAGUUUAACUGGGGCGGUUGCCUCCUAAAGGGUAACGGAGGCGCCCAAAGGUUCCCUCAGCCUGGUUGGCAAUCAGGUGGUGAGUGUAAGUGCACAAGGGAGCUUGACUGUGAGACCGACGGGUCGAGCAGGGACGAAAGUCGGGACUAGUGAUCCGGCGGUGGCUUGUGGAAGCGCCGUCGCUCAACGGAUAAAAGGUACCCCGGGGAUAACAGGCUGAUCUUCCCCAAGAGUCCAUAUCGACGGGAUGGUUUGGCACCUCGAUGUCGGCUCGUCGCAUCCUGGGGCUGGAGUCGGUCCCAAGGGUUGGGCUGUUCGCCCAUUAAAGCGGUACGCGAGCUGGGUUUAGAACGUCGUGAGACAGUUCGGUCCCUAUCCGCUGUGCGCGUAGGAGUCUUGAGAAGGGCUGUCCCUAGUACGAGAGGACCGGGACGGACGAACCUCUGGUGUGCCAGUUGUUCUGCCAAGGGCAUGGCUGGUUGGCUACGUUCGGGAGGGAUAACCGCUGAAAGCAUCUAAGCGGGAAGCCUGCUUCGAGAUGAGGACUCCCACCCACUUGAUGGGGUAAGGCUCCCAGUAGACGACUGGGUUGAUAGGCCGGAUCUGGAAGCACGGUAACGUGUGGAGGUGACCGGUACUAAUAGGCCGAGGGCUUGUCCU